GAUGAACGCUGGCGGCGUGCCUAAUACAUGCAAGUCGAGCGAACGGACGAGAAGCUUGCUUUUCUGAUGUUAGCGGCGGACGGGUGAGUAACACGUGGAUAACCUACCUAUAAGACUGGGAUAACUUCGGGAAACCGGAGCUAAUACCGGAUAAUAUUUUGAACCGCAUGGUUCAAAAGUGAAAGACGGUCUUGCUGUCACUUAUAGAUGGAUCCCCGCUGCAUUAGCUAGUUGGUAAGGUAACGGCUUACCAAGGCAACGAUGCAUAGCCGACCUGAGAGGGUGAUCGGCCACACUGGAACUGAGACACGGUCCAGACUCCUACGGGAGGCAGCAGUAGGGAAUCUUCCGCAAUGGGCGAAAGCCUGACGGAGCAACGCCGCGUGAGUGAUGAAGGUCUUCGGAUCGUAAAACUCUGUUAUUAGGGAAGAACAUAUGUGUAAGUAACUGUGCACAUCUUGACGGUACCUAAUCAGAAAGCCACGGCUAACUACGUG
rnacentral:rRNA from 1 species